rnacentral:lncRNA from 1 species
AUGUCGUUUUCUUAUUGGAGACUUCUGGACAACACUGUACUGACAGGGUUCUGCCUUUCCCUUGAAUCUGGUCCUGGUACAAAGCCUGCCCCAAGAUCUCUCUGUGGCUUUCCAGCUGAGCUUCUGAGAUCCACAAUUACUAUUUUGGGAAUGGCAACAGAUAACAGAUUUCUUUAUUUUUAUUUUUCACUUUGUUGUACACAAAAAGGGGAAGGGCCAGGGACGAUAGUAGUGCCGCUCAGAGCAGGGCUCAAGGAAGGGAAGACUGCCCCUGGCACCACAGGCGGCACCUCGAGAACCUGGCCAGUCACCUGGCGCUGCACGUGUAGCGCCGGGUGCAUCCCAGAUGCACGAACCCCGUCUCGGCACAGGGAGACGGGACAUGAGCCGCAUGGCUCAGGCCCUCUGAUGAUAGCGCUAGCAUAGGGUUUCCUUUGGGGUGAAGCCAAAGGUGCCACUCUGCUAUGUCUGUACCUGCCUGGUAUCUACGGCAUAUAUUGUGCACAUCCUUCCACAAUUACACUUGACUGCUGUGAUGUCACGUUUGCUACAAAGCAAUGCUAACUUUGUGCAGUCAUCUGCUACUUGGUUUUAGAUGCUGGCAUACUCGUUCUAGCAUCAGAGAGUGUGGCUGUGGCUGGAAAAAAACAACCACCACCCUUCUCUUUCUGUAGGAGGGAGGAAGUCCCAACGACUCUCCAGAGAGACCACAGCUCCUCUUGGUGACCCCUCCAUACCUACAAUCCUCGGUGAUUCUCAGGUGCCUGAUGCUUUAGCAGAAUACAAAGUCCAUGAAGAGCAAUGACUGAUGGUCUUAACUUGCAAAAUUUACAACCUAAUUCUUUUACAUUGGGAAUUACAUUAUUUAUACUUUCCCAAUUAUUUAUAAUUGGGAAUUCCCCAAUUUAUUUAUAAUUGGGAAUUACAUUACAUAUUUAUAGUGCAACUGGGAAGAAAUAUCCUCUUCCAAACGAAAAUGCUGGCAGUGAGUUUUUUAAAGUAUUGCGAUAUUUUUCAUUCAAUCCAGAAGUAAAUUUGUAACACUUUCCUUGGUUCACCCUGACAGGCUUUGGAAUGCUCACUUCCACAAAUAUUCUGUCCUCCCAUAUUUCGCAGGCUCCCAAGACAGAAUUCUGAGACUGUUUUGAUCUGCACACACAGAUAUACAGACAGAUCACUUCUGCCACCCUAAUGAUGGACAAAAACUUGUGUCUGUUCUUUCAAUCAUGUUUAUAAUGCAAGUGUUCCAUUAUAAAAUAGUAAUUACAAUACAAAAUUUAGAUCAUCAUAAACAACUAGCUUCUCUACAUUUAGCAUUUUUGUUUUUGCUGAGGAAUCCCUCAAUUUCACUAACAAUUCUAUUUCAGCAGAUUUCAGCGGAACUACUUAUGCAAGCUUUAACAUUAACAGCAUAAAAACUGAGACU